rnacentral:snRNA from 1 species
AUACUUACCUGGCAGGGAGAUACCAUGAUCACGAAGGUGGUUUUCCCAGGGCGAGGCUUAUAUCCAUUGCACUCCGGAUGUGCUGACCCCUGCGAUUUCCCCAAAUGUGGGAAACUCGACUGCAUAAUUUGUGGUAGUGGGGGACUGCGUUCGCGCUCUCCCCUG